rnacentral:rRNA from 1 species
AGCGAACGCUGGCGGCAUGCUUAACACAUGCAAGUCGCACGGAUCUUUCGGGCUCAGUGGCGGACGUGUGAGUAACGCGUAGGGAUCUAUCCAUGGGUGGGGGACACCUCCGUGAAACUGGAGCUAAUACCGCAUGAUACCUUAGGGUCAAAGGCGCAAGUCGCCUGUGGAGGACCCUGCGUUCGAUUAGCUAGUUGGUAGGGUAAAGGCCUACCAAGGCGAUGAUCGAGGGCUGGUUUGAGAGGAUGAUCAGCCACACUGGGACUGAGACACGGCCCAGACUCGUACGGGAGGCAGCAGUGGGGAAUAUUGGACAAGGGGCGAAAGCCUGAUACAGCAAUGCCGCGGGUGUGAAGAAGGUCUUCGGAUUGUAAAGCACUUUGGACGGGGACGAUGAUGACGGUAACCGUAGAAGAAGCCCCGGCUAACUUCGUG